rnacentral:rRNA from 1 species
GGAAUCUUGGACAAUGGGCGAAAGCCUGAUCCAGCCAUGCCGCGUGAGUGAUGAAGGCCCUAGGGUUGUAAAACUCUUUCGGCGGGGACGAUAAUGACUGUACCCGCAGAAGAAGCUCCGGCCAACUUCGUGCCAGCAGCCGCGGUAAUACGAAGGGGGCUAGCGUUGUUCGGAAUUACUGGGCGUAAAGCGCGCGCAGGCGGUUCUUCAAGUCAGAGGUGAAAGCCCCGAGCUCAACUCGGCAAUUGCCUUUGAGACUGGAGGACUUGGGUACGGGAGAGGUGAGUGGAAUUCCGAGUGUAGAGGUGAAAUUCGUAGAUAUUCGGAAGAACACCAGUGGCGAAGGCGGCUCACUGGCCCGUUACCGACGCUCAGGCGCGACAGCGUGGGGAUCAA